rnacentral:rRNA from 1 species
GAUGAACGCUGGCGGCGUGCCUAACACAUGCAAGUCGAACGGAGUCCAGCCUUUAAGACCUUCGGGUCAAAGAGGGGAAGACUGAGUGGCGGACGGGUGAGUAACACGUGGGCAACCUGGCUCAUAGAGGGGGAUAACAGAGAGAAAUUUCUGCUAAUACCGCAUAAGCACACACUGCCGCCUGGCAGAGGGUGAAAAGAGAAUCGCUAUGAGAUGGACCCGCGUCUGAUUAGCCAGUUGGCAGGGUAAGAGCCUACCAAAGCGACGAUCAGUAGCCGAACUGAGAGGAUGAACGGCCACAUUGGGACUGAGACACGGCCCAAGCUCCUACGGGAGGCAGCAGUGGGGGAUAUUGCACAAUGGGGGGAACCCUGAUGCAGCGACGCCGCGUGAGUGAAGAAGUAUUUCGGUAUGUAAAGCUCUAUCAGCAGGGAAGAUAAUGACAGUACCUGAAGAAGAAGCCCCGGCUAACUACGUG